rnacentral:lncRNA from 1 species
CCCCCCCCGUUUGUCCCCCCUCCCCAGGAGAGGGUGGCCGAGCUUUCGGGGAUCCCCCCCGAGGACCAAGUGCUGCUCCACGCCGGGACCCCCCUGGACGAUGAGGCCGUGCUGGGGCAGAGCCCCCUCCCCGAAUUCACCACCCUGGACCUCUCCACGCGCCUGCUGGGCGGUAAGGUCCACGGCUCCCUCGCCCGCGCCGGCAAAGUGAGGGGCCAGACCCCCAAGGUGGCCAAGCAGGAGAAGAAGAAGAAGAAGACGGGGCGGGCCAAGCGGCGCAUGCAGUACAACCGGCGCUUCGUCAACGUCGUGCCCACCUUCGGCAAGAAGAAGGGCCCCAACGCCAACUCCUGAACCCCAAUAAAGGAAUUUGGGUCCAAUUCCCAGCAUUUUGGGGCUCUUUGAGCUUUUCUUGACGCUCUCCUUGCGUUUUUUAAGUUUCUUUUAAGGUUGUUUAUGGGAUGUUCAAAGUGGUUUGGGGGUGAAACCGGCCGAGAGGGGGUAAUCGGGGUCCCCAAGAGCUGACGGGAGGUUAAUUAGAGGGAAGCGUUAAUUGGCGGAGUGCUAAUGAGGAGACGCUGAGGAGAAUGAGUCUCUGUGGUGGAGGCGGGAAGAGCCGAGCGCUGCCGGAAAUACCCGAGCGCAGCGGGGGGCGGGGCUGAGGGAAUCCGAGAAUGACCGGAAAUCCCCGAAUUGUGCCGAGGGACUCGGAGAGAGCCUGAAACACCCAACGGGCGGAGGAGGCAGCUGAAAAGCGAUCAAGAGAUUUAAUUGAUCGCUCCGAACGCCUCCGAGCGGUGCCGGAAACUGCCGAGACUGGGGAGAGCCGAAGCACCCCCAAAACCCCCCGGCGUUCCCCCUCACGGCCUCACCCGCCAGGGGGCGCCUCACACCCCUCACGUCUUUUCCCGCCUUUUCCGCCUCCCUCAGCGCUCGCGCCCCGCCCCCUUCCCGGCAUGCCCCGCGCGCUAUUUAAGCGCCCGUGAGGCAGCAAGGCGGCCAUUUUGUCCCAGCAGCGAGAGGGAGAGUAUUCAUGCCCGAAAAACGAUGCUUCUCUCGGAGCAUGGAAUCCUCACCCGCGGGUUCCCUGUGGCCCCUCCCCAGGGUGGGAGAAACCUCAGCCCGGGGUGACCUUCAGGGCACCCUGAAGUGACCACAAUGACCCCAGCUCAGGUCAGUGCCACCCCCUAAACCCCCCCAAAUGUCCCCCCAAGCCCCCCCAGUCCG